rnacentral:rRNA from 1 species
AUUGAACGUUGGCGGCAUGCCUUACACAUGCAAGUCGAACGGUAACGGGCCUUCGAGCGCCGACGAGUGGCGAACGGGUGAGUAAUGCAUCGGAACGUACCUUUCAGUGGGGGAUCACGUAGCGACAGUUACGAUAAUACCGCAUACUCUGUGAGCAGGAAAGCAGGGGAGCGCACGACCUGGCGCUGUGUGAGCGGCCGAUGUCAGAUGAGCUGGUUGGUGAGGUAAAGGCUCACCAAGGCGACGAUCUGUAGCGGGUCUGAGAGGAUGAUCCGCCACACUGGAACUGAGACACGGUCCAGACUCCUACGGGAGGCAGCAGUGGGGAAUUUUGGACAAUGGGGGCAACCCUGAUCCAGCCUUGCCGCGUGAGUGAAGAAGGCCUUCGGGUUGUAAAGCUCUUUCGGCCGGGAAGAAAUCGUAUGGGCUAAUACCCUGUGCGGAUGACGGUACCGGCAUAAGAAGCACCGGCUAACUACGUGCCAGCAGCCGCAGUAACAC